rnacentral:lncRNA from 1 species
UGUGUUUUUCCAGCGAAACGUCGCAUGCUGCUGCCAGCCAUGCCCUGCUGUUGUUUUGUGAAGACCAUUGGCUGUGAAGAUGAGAUAUAUGCGGAGGCGCUGGUGCCGGUGGCCGUGCAUUGACCGCCGGCGACGGAGGUGCGGGUGCGUGUGUGCAUGUGUUUUUCCAGCGAAACGUCGCAUGCUGCUGCCAGCCAUGCCCUGCUGUUGUUCUGUGAAGACCAUUGGCUGUGAAGAUG